rnacentral:lncRNA from 1 species
CCUUUCCCUAGUAUCUCUUAGGUUGGCAAGGAUCCUAUAAAAACCUUCACCUUGGGCUGAAAUAUUACAGUAAAUGCUAAAUAUCCUUUUUCCUUUUUUCUAUAGUUAAUAUAGUUGGAUUAAGUCUCCCUAAUGAUCUCAUAACUGAUAUCACUUCCUCUCCCCUACUCUACCUCUCAAAGCCUCACUUCUAAGAUAAAAUUAGUGAAAAAUACACUCUCCAGUCAAAUAACUGUACUAAUAUGCCAAUUUGAAUUUCUUUUUAGUGCAAACUCCAGGACCUAUU